GUUCAAAUUCCAGCGCCGUGGCUAUCUCAUGACUCACAGAGAUUUUGAAAAGUUUUACUCUUGGAGCUAGAGAGAUGGUUCAGUGGAUAAGAGCUCUUGCUGCUCUUCCAGAGGAUCAGAGUUCAGGUCCCAGCACCAUGUAGGGUGAUUUAUCACUCCUUGUAGUUCCAGCUCCAGGGAAACCGGCACCCUCUUCUGCCCUCUGAGAACACCACACUUUGGCACACAAUUCCAAUUACAGAUAUACACAUAGUUUAAAUGUGUGUGUGUGUGUGUGUGUGUGUGUGUGUAUAAAAUGUUUAAUCUAUAUGCAUGUGUGUACACUAUGAUGUACAUGUGGAGGUCAGAGGGCAACUUGCAGAAAUUUAUUCUGACUUGAAUUCAGGUCACCAGACUUGGCAGCAAAUGCCUUUACCCACUAAGCCAUCUUCCUGGCUCUGAUCUUUUUGUUUGUUUGUUUUUUGUUUUAUUUACACUAACAACUGAACCCAGAGCCUCCGUGCUUGAUAUGCACAGAGUCUUCUACUGAGUUGUUCUGCUAGCUUCCUGCAGUGAUUUUUCUG
rnacentral:lncRNA from 1 species